AGAGAAUAGAUACCCGGGUAGUCCCAGCUGUAAACGAUGCAGACUCGGUGAUGAAUUGGCUUAUUGCUAAAAUUCAGUGCCGCAGGGAAGCCGUUAAGUUUGCCGCCUGGGGAGUACGGUCGCGAGACUGAAACUUAAAAGGAAUUGGCGGGGGAGCACCACAAGGGGUGAAGCCUGCGGUUCAAUUGGAGUCAACGCCGGAAAUCUUACCGGGGGCGACAGCAGAGUGAAGGUCAAGCUGAAGACUUUACCAGACAAGCUGAGAGGAGGUGCAUGGCCGUCGCCAGCUCGUGCCGUGAGGUGUCCUGUUAAGUCAGGUAACGAGCGAGAUCCCUGCCUCUAGUUGCUACCACUAUUCUCAGGAGUAGUGGAGCUAAUUAGAGGGACCGCCGUCGCUGAGACGGAGGAAGGUGGGGGCUACGGCAGGUCAGUAUG
rnacentral:rRNA from 1 species